rnacentral:rRNA from 1 species
GACGAACGCUGGCGGCGUGCUUAACACAUGCAAGUCGAACGGAAAGGCCCUGCUUGCAGGGUACUCGAGUGGCGAACGGGUGAGUAACACGUGGGUGAUCUGCCCUGCACUUCGGGAUAAGCUUGGGAAACUGGGUCUAAUACCGGAUAGGAGCCAUCUUUAGUGUGGUGGUUGGAAAGUUUUUUCGGUGUAGGAUGAGCUCGCGGCCUAUCAGCUUGUUGGUGGGGUAAUGGCCUACCAAGGCGGCUACGGGUAGCCGGCCUGAGAGGGUGUACGGCCACAUUGGGAUUGAGAUACGGGCCAGACUCCUAAGGGAGGCAGCAGUGGGGAAUAUUGCACAAUGGGAGCAAGCCUGAUGCAGGGACGCCGCGUGGGGGAUGAAGGCCUUCGGGUUGUAAACUCCUAUCGCUAGGGACGAAGCUUUUUUGUGACGGUACCUAGAUAAGAAGCACCGGCUAACUACGUG